CCGGCCCGCCCCAGCCCCGCGCGUCGCCCGGGAGGGCGGGCUGCACUCCCUCCACGUACCUGGCUGGCAGAGCGUCUCCAGGGACAAAAGGUGCCCUGGGAUCAAAGCCGAGCCCCCGCCCCCGCGGGGAUGCUGCCCUCCGGAAGGAGGGGCGCUGCCCCCAAGGUACUCUCCCCGGGCACCCAGGGGGAGGUUCCAUUUCAACCUCCGAUGAAAAACACGGCCCUCCCGGGUACUUAGGAGGGUCUGAGGGUAAGUGCCAAGAUGGAGAAAACACGCCGGCCCCUCACAGAGUAUCUCCUGAGGAAUGAGAACUAUCUAGCGGGCAAGGAGGGCUUCCUGCAUAGCAGAGGGCACCCCCUCUGAUCCCCCAAGGCCAAGGGAAAAAAAUCACUCUUCACCGGCGCCCCUGAGCCAGGACAGGCUCCAGUGCAGCCACCCACCUUAUAAUUUUCCGCGGAUGCUGCCUUGAUCAGAUGUCUGAAGAUGACUUUAAGGACUACAAGCAAAUCUCAAGGGAAAAAUUCAGACCUUGAACAACAGCCUUGAACUUUUUCAGGGUUAGACAAGUACUCCCCAGUGGAGUUUCUGCCCUUAUUUCUUCGUUCUUCUCUUAAUUCUUCCAUAUUUUAACAGAACACAGACCUGCCGAAACGACACAGGAUGGCUCUUUGCUUUUUGUUAGUUCUCCAACCUUCCAAACCCUUGGGGCACAUGCAAGCACUGUGGAAAAACUUCAUUAAACCAAGAGUCAUCUUACUCCAGAUCCCAGACUGCUUGGGAAGUUGGACAUGCAUAUUCCCAAAGAGAACAGUGUUGGAAGAAGACAGGAGAGCAGCUCGCGGGUUGGGGGUAGAGGGUAGGAAAAGAGGGCAAGAUGGAGGACUACCACUCGAGGCCAGCCUCCACUGCCUGUUAGGGCGGUAGAACCUAAGAGCCGGUCCAAGGCAACACAAAAGACAGUGAGGCUAGGUCUUUAAUUGCAGCCAACGAUCAAGAAAGCAACUCCAUCAAAUGACACUGUCUUUUUAAAAAAAAUUUUUUUUUUUUGAGACAGAGUCUCGCUCUGUCGCCCAGGCUGGAGUGCAGUGGUGCGAUCUUGGCUCACUGCAACCUCUGCCACCCGGGUUCAAGCAGUUCUCCCUGCCUCAGCCUCCUGAGUAGCCGGGAUUACAGGCACGCGCUACCAGGCCCGGCUAAUUUUUUUUUUUUUUCUUUUUUGGUAGAAUCGAGGUUUUGCCAUGUUGGCCACGUUGGUCUCGAAUUCCUGACCUCAGUUGAUCCGCCCAUCUCAGCCUCCCAAAGUGCUGGGAUUUCAAGCGUUAGCCACCGCACUCGACCAAAUGACACUGUCUUAAAUGAUUUAAUGUCUUAAAUCGGGAAAGGAGAGUAAGAGAAAGCACUCAAUGGAGUCAGAGGUGUCUUGCAGCCUAGCUCUUUCCACAGACAAGCCACAUGGGCCUAUCAUCUAACCUUUUCAAACUUCUCCAACUGCUUCUGUGAUGGAGGGAUUUGGGCUAGAGGAUCUUUUUAUUUUAUUUUAUUUUAUUUUAUUUUGGUGACAGAGUCUCACACUGUCGCCCGGGCUGAAGUGCAGUGGCACAAUCUCAGCUUGCUGCAACCUCUUUCUCCUGGGUUCAUGCGAUUCUCCCGCCUCAGCCUCCCAACUAGCUGGGAUUACAGGCGCACACCACCACACCUGGCUUAUUUUUUGUGUUUUUAGUAGAGACGGAGUUUCACUAUGUUGGCCAGACUGGUCUCGAACUCCUGACCUCGUGAUCCGCCCACCUCGGCCUCCCAAAGUGCUGUGAUUACAGGCAUGAGCCACCGCGCCUGGCCGAUGAUCCCAUUUUUCAAAGUAGGCUGGGUGCGGUAGCUCACGCCUGUAAUCCCAGCACUCUGGGAGGCUAAGGCGGGUGGAUCACUUGAGGCCAGCAGUUCGAGACCAGCCUGGCCAACAUGGUGAAACCCCGUGUCUACUAAAAAUACAAAAAUUAGCUCGGCAUAGUGGUACGUACCUGUACUUUCAGCUACUUGGGAGGUUGAGACAGGAGAAUUUUGCUUGAACCCAGGAGGCGGAGGUUGCAGUGAGCCAAGAUGGCACCACUGCACUCCAUUCUGGGUGACAGAGUGAGACCCUGUCUCAAAAAUAAUGAUAAUAAAAUAAAAGUAAUUAUUUAAGGCUGGGAGCGGUGGCUCACGCCUGUAAUCACAGCAUUUUGGGAGGCCGAGGCGGUGGAUCAUGAGGUCAGGAGGUCGAGACCAUCCUGUCUUAACACGGUG
rnacentral:lncRNA from 1 species